rnacentral:rRNA from 1 species
CUGCUGCCUCCCGUAGGAGUUUGGACCGUGUCUCAGUUCCAAUGUGGGGGACCUUCCUCUCAGAACCCCUACGCAUCGUCGGCUUGGUGGGCCGUUGCCCCACCAACUACCUAAUGCGCCGCAUGCCCAUCCAUGACCGGGGUCGCCCCCUUUGACCGGCAGGGGAUGUCCCCUCCCGGCAUUAUGUUGUAUUAGGCGGGAUUUCUCCCGGUUAUCCAUCUGUCACGGCCAGGUUGCAUACGUGUUACUCACCCGUGCGCCGGUCGCCCGG